rnacentral:rRNA from 1 species
GCAUUAUACCGUGAAACUGCGAAUGGCUCAUUAAAUCAGUUAUCGUUUAUUUGAUAGUACCUUACUACUUGGAUAACCGUGGUAAUUCUAGAGCUAAUACAUGCUAAAAACCCCAACUUCGGGAGGGGUGUAUUUAUUAGAUAAAAAACCAACGCCCUUCGGGGCUUCUUGGUGAUUCAUGAUAACUUUACGGAUCGCAUGGCCUUGCGCCGGCGACGGUUCAUUCAAAUUUCUGCCCUAUCAACUUUCGAUGGUAAGGUAUUGGCUUACCAUGGUUUCAACGGGUAACGGGGAAUUAGGGUUCGAUUCCGGAGAGGGAGCCUGAGAAACGGCUACCACAUCCAAGGAAGGCAGCAGGCGCGCAAAUUACCCAAUCCCGACACGGGGAGGUAGUGACAAUAAAUACUGAUACAGGGCUCUUUUGGGUCUUGUAAUUGGAAUGAGUACAAUUUAAACCUCUUAACGAGGAACAAUUGGAGGGCAAGUCUGGUGAACUUUCAGUCAAAUGUUCUAUUCUGCUGACGCCAGAGAUAGUCAGGCAGCUCGAUUGAGUUGUUAUGCUGGCUAGUUGAGUACCCGCAGAUUGAUGGGGGGGUACCAGCGAGACAACCUGGAUCGGGGAAGGCUAAGGCAUCGAGAGAUGCUAUGCUAAUCCCGAGCAGAGCUGCCAUAGGGAGACCUUUGGUAUAGCCUGUGUAGAGCACGGUAAGGUGUCGGCUAUCUCAUGUAGAUAGCUUAAGGGACGUGCCAUUCCCAUACGAAAGUAUGGCUGCCAACAAUAGCGCCCAUCACGCAAAGGUUGGCAGACUUGAACUUGUUCAAGCGUUAUAAUAGGCCAGCAGCCGCGGUAAUUCCAGCUCCAAUAGCGUAUAUUAAAGUUGUUGCAGUUAAAAAGCUCGUAGUUGAAACUUGGUCUGGCUGGCAGGUCCGCCUCACCGCGUGUACUUGUCCGGCCGGGCCUUCCUUCUGGAGAACCUCAUGCCCUUCACUGGGCGUGUUGGGGACCAGGACUUUUACUUUGAAAAAAUUAGAGUGUUCAAAGCAGGCCUUUGCUCGAAUACGUUAGCAUGGAAUAAUAGAAUAGGACGUGCGGUCCUAUUUUGUUGGUUUCUAGGACCGCCGUAAUGAUUAAUAGGGACAGUCGGGGGCAUCAGUAUUCAAUUGUCAGAGGUGAAAUUCUUGGAUUUAUUGAAGACUAACUACUGCGAAAGCAUUUGCCAAGGAUGUUUUCAUUAAUCAGUGAACGAAAGUUAGGGGAUCGAAGACGAUCAGAUACCGUCGUAGUCUUAACCGUAAACUAUGCCGACUAGGGAUCGGGCGAUGUUCUUUUUCUGACUCGCUCGGCACCUUACGAGAAAUCAAAG